CAGAGGUUGCAGUUAGCCAAGAUUGCACCACUGCACUCCAGCCUGGGCAACAGAGUUGAGACUCCUUCUUAAAAAAAAAAAAAUUACUGAAUAAAUUUGCAUUUACCUUUGGUGUUUCCCAACUUAGAUUUGAAUUGUUUUGUCUGUCCCCUAAAACCUGCCCUGUGCUCUUGUGUGCCCUGUGACUGUUAGUACCCUUGUCUUUGUCACUCCAGGCCUGCUCUCUUUUUCCUAUUCCCAUCUGUACUUUAAGCCUUCCCUACCCCCCAUGCCCUUGUACCCUUUUCACUUCCUUUAAAAAUGGCCAGUGCUUCAUUUCAGUUCCUCUGUGUCCAUUCUCUAGAAAUUAAUCUGAUCCACUAAUCACCAUUAAAUUGAUAAUGCUUGAAAAUGUCUUGCCUUUUUCUGGUUUGCCAUUUUAAUUAGAAUUUUAACUUAGGUUUUUAGAGAACAUUUCAAGAUAUACCACCUUGAUGGUUGGACUUGGGUUUAGGUAUUUCAAGCUGGUUCAUAAAGGUAUUUCUUUUAAAGGAAAAAAAAAAAAAACAGUGAGAGCCCAGCAUGCACAUCCACCUUCAAGAUGUAAUAAUUUGAGAUUUCAACUGUCCCUUAAGGAAAGUUGGUUUUAGAAGAGAAAAGGUAAAACUAUUAAAUAACUAUGAUCCAUAAUAAAAUAUAUUAUAGUUUCUUAUUCUUAGCCAAUUAAACGAAAAUAUUAUUAUGUAUUAAUAGGAUAUGUAAUUUUGGGGGAUAGAAAAUGUAUUUUUUUACUUAUUACUUUUAGUUUUUGUAAUGAUUGCUGAUUUGUCCUGUGCUGUAUAUAAUUCUUUGUCGCAGUUUUAUUAGCACGUGUUAUAGCCAAAUGCUUUCUUGUUAUAUUAUGAAGAGGACAUUUUUGUUCUGUUCCAUGUUAUUUUUCUUACCAAAACAUGCAACAAAGACUAAAGUCUAUUCAAAAAAAGCUUAUUUCAUUAUUUAAAAAGAUUCUUUCCCAUAUUCCAUACUUUUGUUAGUGUUACAUCCAAUUUUUUUUUCCAUAAAUUUAACCCCUCCCCUGCUUUCAGAUGUGGCCUAAAAGCAAACAAUAGAAGUACUUUUGACCUACCUUUGUUAGAAACUUUGCAUAGCUAAAUCAGUGCUUGUAGGAGUGUCAGGGAAAGUAAGAGUAAAGAGGAUAUAAUAUGUAAGAUAGAGUGCUUUGUCCUAAAAUGUUGAUGGUCUGUUGGGAAAUCAGAUAACCACAUAUGACAUAAUCAAUCAGCAAGCCAGAUUAAAGUUCUAAGAUACGUGAAAAAGUUAACAGUAUCAGUUUUUAGAGAGAAAAGAGAAAUUAGAGUAGGCUUGAGAUGUCAUAGAAGUUUUAGACUACACUUUGGUGGACAGAUAAAAGGGAAGAGGACCUUUGAGAUGAAAAUCUUAAAAUAUUCCUAUCAGAAUUCUCAACCCAAAGAUGAUAUAUAUAACAAACUGAGAAGAAGAGAAAAAAUGAUUAGCUUCUAGGCUUCCUCAUUGGUCAACAUGAAGUCUCUCCAAACCCAGUGGACAGACUUGUAUUUUCAAGCACCCUGUUCUUAGAGCUUAGGCUGCCAUGACUGACAGAAUACCCUUCUGGUAAGCUUAAACAACAGAAAUCUAUUUCUCACAGUUCUGGAGUCUGGGAAAUCUAAGAUCAGGGUGCCCCCAGAUUCUGUUCCUGCUGAGUUUGUCUCUUGGCAUGUCUUAGAAGGGCUCUUUUCCUUAAGUUCUUAUGUGGCUUUUCCUUGAUGAAUUCACUUGUGGAGAGAGAGAGAAUGAGAGAGGAAAGGACAGAGAGAAAAAAGGGGAAGGGGGAGAGAGAGUUGGAAAGACAGAGGUUUUAGGAUUAACAUCAUAAAAUAUUAUCUUCAAAGAUUUUACCUAGAAGUAACUGGAGCCUCAUUUGUGUUUUAAAUUUCCAUAAGGGAGGGUUUGAUCUACUGCCAGAUCAGCUCUUUAGACGCUGGCUUUGGUAUUAGAAAGCUUUUCGAGAGAGUGGCUCUGGUCACUGGUAGGGGCUUUUCAGUGAGUCUGGGAGGAGUUAGGUAGAACUUUGGAUUUGGGUAUAAAGGGACUUGUGACACUGGGUCAAAAUGCUUACAGCCUGGCAAAAGUAUCUCUUCAGGCUCUGGUAAGGGAUAUGUAACCUCUGUGGGAUAUCCUAGAACACAUGGGAUUAGGGGAGAUAAAUGAUCAAUGGAAUAGGCAAUUCAUUCACCUGUCAGUCACAUAGAUCUUACUCACUUCUAGGGAAAAUCUGACAUUGGAGGACUUACUGUUAAAUGAAUCAAAGAUAUGACCUUGAAAAAUGGGAAUAACCAUGGCACCAAUGGAAUGAGUCAGUGAUUUGGGAGGGAGAACUGGUUUGGGAAGAAGGAUUAUCAUUUUGGUUUCAGAAAUUCUGAAUUUAAAGCUAUAGCACCGGUUGAAAUGUGUAGUAGACAGCUGGGAGGAACUGAUGGAAGCUUAGGUGAGAAGACAAGUUAGGGGUUGUUAGCUCUGUUCAAAAGAAGGUAAAGAAGAAAUUCUUUGUCCAACUCCUCUGAGAAAGCAGGAAGUGAAGAUACCAGCUUUAGUCUAUGACUACUUGGUUUUUAGGCCCUUUAUUUAUAGUCUAAGAAUGUCAAGACAUUGCUGGGAUACAUGAAAUGGGGAGAGCACAAGCAGUGGCUUCUAUUUAUGAGAAAGAACAAAUCUAGAGAUUGAGAAUCAUACAGAAGCAAUUUUCUUUGCUUUUUUUAAAAAAAAAAAAAAAAAAAAAACACACUUAUUACCAAG